rnacentral:miRNA from 1 species
UAUGACACUCAAGCGAGCGAAG